AUUGAACGCUGGCGGCAUGCCUUACACAUGCCAGUCGAACGGCAGCACGGGUGCUUGCACCUGGUGGCGAUUGGCGAACGGGUGAGUAAUACAUCGGAACAUGUCCUGUAGUUGGGGAUAGCCCGGCGAAAGCCGGAUUAAUACCGCAUACGAUCUACUGAUGAAAGCGGGGGACCUUCGGGCCUCGCGCUAUAGGGUUGGCCGAUGUCUGAUUAGCUAGUUGGUGGGGUAAAGGCCUACCAAGGCGGCGAUCAGUAGCUGGUCUGCGAGGACGACCAGCCACACUGGGACUCAACCACGGCCCAGACUCCUACGGGAGGCAGCAGUGGGGAAUUUUGGACAAUGGGCGAAAGCCUGAUCCAGCAAUGCCGCGUGUGUGAAGAAGGCCUUCGGGUUGUAAAGCACUUUUGUCCGGAAAGAAAUCCUUGGCCCUAAUACGGUCGGGGGAUGACGGUACCGGAAGAAUAAGCACCGGCUAACUCCGUG
rnacentral:rRNA from 1 species